CAUGCAAGUCGAGCGGAAACGAGUUAUCUGAACCUUCGGGGAACGAUAACGGCGUCGAGCGGCGGACGGGUGAGUAAUGCCUAGGAAAUUGCCCUGAUGUGGGGGAUAACCAUUGGAAACGAUGGCUAAUACCGCAUGAUGCCUACGGGCCAAAGAGGGGGUCCUUCGGGCCUCUGGCGUCAGGAUAUGCCUAGGUGGGAUUAGCUAGUUGGUGAGGUAAGGGCUCACCAAGGCGACGAUCCCUAGCUGGUCUGAGAGGAUGAUCAGCCACACUGGAACUGAGACACGGUCCAGACUCCUACGGGAGGCAGCAGUGGGGAAUAUUGCACAAUGGGCGCAAGCCUGAUGCAGCCAUGCCGCGUGUGUGAAGAAGGCCUUCGGGUUGUAAAGCACUUUCAGUCGUGAGGAAGGUAGUGUAGUUAAUAGCUGCAUUAUUUGACGUUAGCGACAGAAGAAGCACCGGCUAACUCCGUGCCAGCAGCCGCGGUAAUACGGAGGGUGCGAGCGUUAAUCGGAAUUACUGCGCGUAAAGCGCAUGCAGGUGGUUUGUUAAGUCAGAUGUGAAAGCCCGGGGCUCAACCUCGGAAUAGCAUUUGAAACUGGCAGACUAGAGUACUGUAGAGGGGGGUAGAAUUUCAGGUGUAGCGGUGAAAUGCGUAGAGAUCUGAAGGAAUACCGGUGGCGAAGGCGGCCCCCUGGACAGAUACUGACACUCAGAUGCGAAAGCGUGGGGAGCAAACAGGAUUAGAUACCCUGGUAGUCCACGCCGUAAACGAUGUCUACUUGGAGGUUGUGGCCUUGAGCCGUGGCUUUCGGAGCUAACGCGUUAAGUAGACCGCCUGGGGAGUACGGUCGCAAGAUUAAAACUCAAAUGAAUUGACGGGGGCCCGCACAAGCGGUGGAGCAUGUGGUUUAAUUCGAUGCAACGCGAAGAACCUUACCUACUCUUGACAUCCAGAGAACUUUCCAGAGAUGGAUUGGUGCCUUCGGGAACUCUGAGACAGGUGCUGCAUGGCUGUCGUCAGCUCGUGUUGUGAAAUGUUGGGUUAAGUCCCGCAACGAGCGCAACCCUUAUCCUUGUUUGCCAGCGAGUAAUGUCGGGAACUCCAGGGAGACUGCCGGUGAUAAACCGGAGGAAGGUGGGGACGACGUCAAGUCAUCAUGGCCCUUACGAGUAGCGCUACACACGUGCUACAAUGGCGCAUACAGAGGGCAGCCAACUUGCGAAAGUGAGCGAAUCCCAAAAAGUGCGUCGUAGUCCGGAUUGGAGUCUGCAACUCGACUCCAUGAAGUCGGAAUCGCUAGUAAUCGUGGAUCAGAAUGCCACGGUGAAUACGUUCCCGGGCCUUGUACACACCGCCCGUCACACCAUGGGAGUGGGCUGCAAAAGAAGUAGGUAGUUUAACC
rnacentral:rRNA from 2 species